CUGGAUGAGCUCGCAGCCCAGGAUGCGCAGGUCCGUCUCGCUGGGCAGGUCCAGCCCGUCCUGCAUGGACGGCGUCGGCGACAGCCGCUCCUCCGGGAUCAGAGAGUGGUCGAUGGAACCUCCAUACUGUUCUCCACAGUUUACAUUCCCACCAACGGUGCAUGAGGAGUCCCUUUUCUCCACGACCUCACCAACACCUGUUACCUCUUGUCUCUUCGAUGACAGUCAUUCUAACAGGCAGGGCCAGGGGAAUGUGGCCUGUCUUACCAGCGCUAAAUUGGGUGAACGGAGGAGGUACCUUUCACAGCCACAGAGGCCUAGGAACCCUACACACAAGUCCCCAAAAUGUCCUGAGGUUCCCACACCUGCCUGGAAAUGACCUUCUUUACCUACCUGGGAAGGAUGUUGAAACCCCAUAAGCAAGCUGACAAGAAGAGAUUUACUCAAAUACCGUAAAGGCCUAAUUGCUUCUAUCAAAAUAUCCAUGCUGGUAGAGCAUUCUUUUCGGAGUACUCCCAGGAGAUGAAGACCUUAAACGUCACACCUUGCAACCUGGGGACUCCAUCUAUUGGAAAAAACAUCUCUACAAAGACACUCUUCCACCCCUUUGGGAAGAUCCCAUCAGGUACUGUUAACUGACCCUUGUGCAGCCAGACACGAAGGAAUCGACACUUGGAUUCAUGUGUUACAU